rnacentral:rRNA from 1 species
GCUUGUCUCAAAGAUUAAGCCAUGCAUGUCUAAGUAUAAGCAUUAUACAGUGAAACUGCGAAUGGCUCAUUAUAUCAGUUAUAGUUUAUUUGAUAGUCUCUGCUAUUUGGAUAACCGUAGUAAUUCUAGAGCUAAUACAUGCACCAAGCGCGCUUUUACGAGCGCGUGUAUUUAUUAGAUUGAAACCAAUGCGGGUUCGCCCGGUAUUUGGUGAUUCAUAAUAACUUUCGGAUCGACUUCGGUCGAUGCAUCAUUCAAGUUUCUGCCCUAUCAGCUUUGGAUGGUAGGGUAUUGGCCUACCAUGGCUUUAACGGGUAACGGAGAAUUAGGGUUCGAUUCCGGAGAGGGAGCCUGAGAAAUGGCUACCACAUCCAAGGAAGGCAGCAGG